rnacentral:rRNA from 1 species
GAGUGGCGAACGGGUGAGUAACACGUGGGUAACCUGCCCAGAAGUAGGGGAUAACACCUGGAAACAGAUGCUAAUACCGUAUAACAGAGAAAACCGCAUGGUUUUCUUUUAAAAGAUGGCUCUGCUAUCACUUCUGGAUGGACCCGCGGCGUAUUAGCUAGUUGGUGAGGUAAAGGCUCACCAAGGCAGUGAUACGUAGCCGACCUGAGAGGGUAAUCGGCCACAUUGGGACUGAGACACGGCCCAGACUCCUACGGGAGGCAGCAGUAGGGAAUCUUCCACAAUGGACGCAAGUCUGAUGGAGCAACGCCGCGUGAGUGAAGAAGGGUUUCGGCUCGUAAAGCUCUGUUGUUAAAGAAGAACGUGGGUAAGAGUAACUGUUUACCCAGUGACGGUAUUUAACCAGAAAGCCACGGCUAACUACGUGCCAGCAGCCGCGGUAAUACGUAGGUGGCAAGCGUUAUCCGGAUUUAUUGGGCGUAAAGCGAGCGCAGGCGGUCUUUUAAGUCUAAUGUGAAAGCCUUCGGCUCAACCGAAGAAGUGCAUUGGAAACUGGGAGACUUGAGUGCAGAAGAGGACAGUGGAACUCCAUGUGUAGCGGUGAAAUGCGUAGAUAUAUGGAAGAACACCAGUGGCGAAGGCGGCUGUCUGGUCUGCAACUGACGCUGAGGCUCGAAAGCAUGGGUAGCGAACAGGAUUAGAUACCCUGGUAGUCCAUGCCGUAAACGAUGAUUACUAAGUGUUGGAGGGUUUCCGCCCUUCAGUGCUGCAGCUAACGCAUUAAGUAAUCCGCCUGGGGAGUACGACCGCAAGGUUGAAACUCAAAAGAAUUGACGGGGGCCCGCACAAGCGGUGGAGCAUGUGGUUUAAUUCGAAGCUACGCGAAGAACCUUACCAGGUCUUGACAUCUUCUGACAGUCUAAGAGAUUAGAGGUUCCCUUCGGGGACAGAAUGACAGGUGGUGCAUGGUUGUCGUCAGCUCGUGUCGUGAGAUGUUGGGUUAAGUCCCGCAACGAGCGCAACCCUUAUUACUAGUUGCCAGCAUUAAGUUGGGCACUCUAGUGAGACUGCCGGUGACAAACCGGAGGAAGGUGGGGACGACGUCAAAUCAUCAUGCCCCUUAUGACCUGGGCUACACACGUGCUACAAUGGAUGGUACAACGAGUCGCGAGACCGCGAGGUUAAGCUAAUCUCUUAAAACCAUUCUCAGUUCGGACUGUAGGCUGCAACUCGCCUACACGAAGUCGGAAUCGCUAGUAAUCGCGGAUCAGCAUGCCGCGGUGAAUACGUUCCCGGGCCUUGUACACACCGCCCGUCACACCAUGAGAGUUUGUAACACCCAAAGCCGGUGGGGUAACCUUUUAGGAGCUAGCCGUCUAAGGUGGGACAGAUGAUUAGGG